rnacentral:lncRNA from 1 species
GCAAAGCCGGAAGGCUCAAUAGCUAACGCAUACAUUGCACAUGAGUGUGUAACGUAUUGCAAGUCAUAUCUCCAUAAUACAGAUGGCACAGAGGGCAUCGGCCCAGCAAGAACACCUACAUUCAACCUCUCAAUUGUCUCUGAAGAUAUAAGAAUGUUUGGUAACUUACCUAAUUCAGAAAUUUUAAGAGAAGAUGAGUUAUGUGAGGCUUAUUGGUGGGUACUGCAACAUUGUGACGAAGUCAAGGAAUAUAGAGAUGCUCAUUUGGGACUUAUUCAACUUAAGUAUCAGAACAGGCAUGAAGAGAGGCAUAAGAAAACGUUUCCUGUCUAUUUCCUAAAAUGGGUACGUUUAAUAUCCCCAUUUCAAAAUUUUGCGCCAAAAUUGUGCCAUUUUCGAUCAUAAUCUUUAACUUAUAAUUUUUAUUUGUUUGUAGGUGAUGAGGAUGCAAGAACGUCAAGAUAAAGAUUACUCUCCGCAGUUGCAUCAUUUGGCGUGUAUGCCACAAGGACAUAAUGUUUAUGCGGCUUGUGUAGUUAACGGUGUUAAGUUCCUUACAGAACGACGAGAUCAACAUCGGAAGACACAGAAUAGUGGCAUCAUGGUAGUGGGUAAGGAUAAUGUUGCAUACUAUGGAAUUGUUGUUGCCGUCAUUGAACUACUAUAUCCAGCAGGUAUGCCAGUUGUGUUGUUCUAGUGUAGAUGGUUCAAUACUGACCCAGAUUUUCCGAGGAGUACGAAGAUGGAUCACGGGCUAUUAUCAGUGAAUACAUCCACAAGCUGGUAUGAGCAUGCCCCGUUUGUGCUUGCCAUUCAAGCAAAACAAGUGUUUUAUCUUAAUGAUCCGAAAGCUGGUGGGGGUUGGAAAGUAGUUAACGUGAUGGAGCAUAGAAGUAUCUUUAACGCAACCACACUUCAAGGGGGCCGGGUAGAACAAAAUAUUGAGAAUGUGGCUCUUGAACCAUAUCAAGAGCCUUUAACUUCUGACAUCCCCGACACAAGCACUAUUCGCAUCAACAACGACAUCCACUUCCCACAAGGCGAGUACAUUCCAAUUUCAGGUUUAGAGUUCGAUUUCGGUUCACUGCCGUACA